CCGUUAGAUGUUCUGGGCCGCACGCGUGCUACACUGAGUGGAUCAGCGGGUCAGGUUGCGCGAAAGCGUUUCCUAAUCUUUAAAUCCGCUCGUGAUGGGGAUUGACGGUUGCAAUUUUCUGUCAUGAACGAGGAAUACCUUGUAAGCGCGGGUCAUCAUCCCGCGCUGAAUACGUCCCUGCCCUUUGUACACACCGCCCGUCGCUCCUACCGAUUGAGUGGUCCGGUGAGGCUUUGGGAUCUGAGCGGAAAGAGCGUUUCGCUGUUUCUGCUCGGAAAACUCAGUCGAACCUUAUCAUUUAGAGGAAGGAGAAGUCGUAACA
rnacentral:rRNA from 1 species